AAGGUUCCAAAGUACAGAGCAGCAUUGCAAAUAGGACUAAAAAUGAGCCGGACUACACACCUGCUUGAGCUCGGCUUGAAAUUUUUUUUUGAGCUUCAGGCUAGGCUUGGGCCCUAGAAUCUUUUAGAAAAUGAGGCCCAAGCCCAGCUCAAACUCAAUCAACCUGGCCCAUAUCAUUGGUAAUGGGUCAGAAGCAAACUCAUCAGCACCA
rnacentral:lncRNA from 1 species